rnacentral:rRNA from 1 species
UGGGGAAUCUUGGACAAUGGGGGCAACCCUGAUCCAGCGACGCCGCGUGGGUGGUAAGGCCUUCGGGUUGUAAAGCUCUUUCAGCGGGGAAGAUAAUGACGGUACCCGCAGAAGAAGCCCCGGCUAACUUCGUGCCAGCAGCCGCGGUAAUACGAAGGGGGCUAGCGUUGUUCGGAUUUACUGGGCGUAAAGCGCGCGUAGGCGGAUUGUUAAGUCAGGGGUGAAAUGCCGAGGCUCAACCUCGGAACUGCCCUUGAUACUGGCAAUCUGGAGUUCGGGAGAGGUGAGUGGAAUUCCGAGUGUAGAGGUGAAAUUCGUAGAUAUUCGGAGGAACACCAGAAGCGAAGGCGGCUCACUGGCCCGAUACUGACGCUGAGGCGCGAAAGCGUGGGGAGCAAACAGGAUUAGAUACCCGCGUAGUCC